UACGUAGGGUGCAAGCGUUAAUCGGAAUUACUGGGCGUAAAGCGUGCGCAGGCGGUUAUGUAAGACAGUUGUGAAAUCCCCGGGCUCAACCCGGGAACUGCGUCCGAGACUGAAAGGCUCGAAUCCGGGAGAGGGAUGUGGAAUUCCAGGUGUAGCGGUGAAAUGCGUAGAUAUCUGGAGGAACAUCGGUGGCGAAGGCGGCAUCCUGGACCGGUAUUGACGCUGAGGCGCGAAAGCCAGGGGAGCAAACGGG
rnacentral:rRNA from 1 species